rnacentral:misc_RNA from 1 species
GUGAAUCAUCAAAUUUUUGAACGCAAAUUGCACUCUCUGGUAUUCCGGAGAGUAUGCCUGUUUGAGGGUCAGUUUAAAUAAAAAUCGGUGUGGUUGCUGGGUUCUGUGGUGACACACUGGAUUUGGGUCGGCCUGCAGUCGGUUAAGUGACCGAAAAUUGUGCAUGAGUUUUUUCGAAUGUAUU